GUGGGGAAUAUUGGGCAAUGGGCGCAAGCCUGACCCAGCAACGCCGCGUGAAGGAAGAAGGCUUUCGGGUUGUAAACUUCUUUUACCAGGGACGAAAAAAAUGACGGUACCUGGAGAAUAAGCCACGGCUAACUACGUGCCAGCAGCCGCGGUAAUACGUAGGUGGCAAGCGUUGUCCGGAUUUACUGGGUGUAAAGGGCGCGUAGGCGGGAGAGCAAGUCAGGAGUGCAAUCUAUGGGCUUAACCCAUAAAUUGCUUUUGAAACUGUUUUUCUUGAGUGAUGGAGAGGCAAGCGGAAUUCCUAGUGUAGCGGUGAAAUGCGUAGAUAUUAGGAGGAACACCAGUGGCGAAGGCGGCUUGCUGGACAUUAACUGACGCUGAUGCGCGAAAGCAUGGGGAGCAAACAGGAUUAGAAACCCGUGUAGUCC
rnacentral:rRNA from 1 species